AUUGAACGCUGGCGGCAUGCCUUACACAUGCAAGUCGAACGGUAACGCGGGGCAACCUGGCGACGAGUGGCGAACGGGUGAGUAAUGCAUCGGCACGUGCCCAUCAGUGGGGGAUAGCCCGGCGAAAGCUGGAUUAAUACCGCAUACGACCUGAGGGUGAAAGCGGGGGACCGUAAGGCCUCGCGCUGAUGGAGCGGCCGGUGUCGGAUUAGCUAGUUGGUGGGGUAAAGGCUUACCAAGGCAACGAUCCGUAGCUGGUCUGAGAGGACGGCCAGCCACACUGGGACUGAGACACGGCCCAGACUCCUACGGGAGGCAGCAGUGGAGAAUUUUGGACAAUGGGCGCAAGCCUGAUCCAGCCAUGCCGCGUGCGGGAAGAAGGCCUUCGGGUUGUAAACCGCUUUUGUCAGGGAAGAAACGGUCUGAACUAAUACUUUGGACUAAUGACGGUACCCGAAGAAUAAGCACCGGCUAACUACGUGCCAGCAGCCGCAGUAAUAC
rnacentral:rRNA from 1 species